rnacentral:lncRNA from 1 species
GUGGUCAGGAAAUCAUGGUUCUCCAUCAGAAAUGCUAGUAGAAAACUCUCACAAUACAAUAUUAAUAGAAAGGAGUAGUUAACACUGUAUAUUACUAUGAUUAUCACUAUGGGAAGGCAAAAGCACUUUCAAAUAGGAAGAAAAAGAAAAUUACACCAAUAUUAGCACUUAUUUAUGAUUAAGACAUGAAGCUAUGGAAGAAUU